rnacentral:rRNA from 1 species
UCGAACGAGAAAGGGGAGCAAUCCCUGAGUACAGUGGCGACCGGGGUGAGUAACACGUGACUACCUGCCCUUGAGUGGGGGAUAACCCCGGGAAACCGGGGCUAAUACCGCAUAACAUCGCAAGAUCAAAGGAGCAAUCCGCUUUUGGAGGGGGUCGCGGCUGAUUAGCUAGUUGGUAGGGUAAUGGCCUACCAAGGCGAAGAUCGGUAUCCGGCCUGAGAGGGCGCACGGACACACUGGAACUGAAACACGGUCCAGACUCCUACGGGAGGCAGCAGUGGGGAAUUUUGCGCAAUGGGGGAAACCCUGACGCAGCAACGCCGCGUGGAGGAUGAAGCCCCUUGGGGCGUAAACUCCUUUCGACCGGGACGAUAAUGACGGUACCGGUGGAAGAAGCACCGGCUAACUCUGUGCCAGCAGCCGCGGUAAUACAGAGGGUGCGAGCGUUGUUCGGAAUUAUUGGGCGUAAAGGGCGCGUAGGCGGUGCGGUAAGUCACCUGUGAAACCUCUGGGCUUAACUCAGAGCCUGCAGGCGAAACUGCCGUGCUGGAGGGUGGGAGAGGUGCGUGGAAUUCCC